AGCCAAAUUUGGAGAUGCCUUCAAUCGAACUGUCAUUAACAGCUUCAGUGCAGGGUCAAUUGCGGUGGAUGCUUCACUGAUAUUUAAUGAUGUGGCUACACUACCAAACGCCAGUUCUGCGGGUGAAACUUUGAAGACUGCGACCUCCGGCGCUAAUUUCUCCCUCAGUGUCAACACAUCUUCUAUUAGAGCAGAAGUGUUUGUGGCACCAACUCAACCACCAACCACAACUGCAACUUCUUUGAUACCAGCUAGUAUGACCUCAG